UACGAGGGGUGCAAGCGUUGCUCGGAAUUAUUGGGCGUAAAGGGUUGGUAGGUGGUCUUGUUUGUCUAGGGUGAAAUCCCAUGGCUUAACUGUGGAAGUGCCCUAGAAACGGCAAGACUAGAGUCCUAGAGGGGUUUGUGGAAUUCCCGGUGUAGCGGUGAAAUGCGUAGAGAUCGGGAGGAACACCAGCGGCGAAAGCACUCUGCUGGGCCGACACUGACACUGAGAGACGAAAGCUAGGGGAGCAAAUGGG
rnacentral:rRNA from 1 species